rnacentral:tRNA from 1 species
GGGUAUAGUUCAAUGGUAGAGCAACGGUCUCCAAAACCGUCGAUCUGGGUUCGAGUCCUAGUCC